UGACUAUCCCCUCUCAAAAAUAAGUUUAGCUGAAAAUCCAGUAUUCUACUGGAGAACAUUUCCCACUGACAACAUUUGACUGGCCUGACGACAGGAAGUCCUGCAGUCCAGACACAAGAACUGGGGCAGCUCUCUUCCACACGCACUUUAUAAUGCCCCUAGAAGGCCGGUUCCCCCACCUGAUUCCAAUUCCCUGACAUUUCUGAUGUUACUCACAGCAUAUGGUGUCCCAUCUGAAGCAGGUUUAAAUGGCAUUUUCCCAGCCUCACCUUCUCGUGAUAUUCUGUUUGGCCAGAAUAAUGCAAAAGAGGUUGUAAGUUUGCACCUGUUGCCUUCCAAAACUCUCCCUUUAUCAACAACGAGAGGGGGAUAUGUGAAGGACAUAAAGCUAUUAAAGCCAGAAGCUGCCUGUGGCUAGUUUUUACCGUGACACGAAUUUACAUAACAGAGUGCAACAGAAGCACUGCGUUAAUGUGUCUACACACUGCCGAGGCACAAAUGAACAAUAUAUUCAGCACCUUAAAAGCACGUUCCAGGAGAAGGAUGAGCUACAUCUAAUCUUGGAGCUUAUCAGUAACCAAGAUGAAGAGCUUCUUCAGUCUCCCUUAAAUAACUAGAGCAAUUUUAUAGUUAUUAUUCAAAUGGAACUCUGAAAAUAUAUGAAUUCAUUAGCAGCUGACUGAUCCAAUUAAAGAAAUGCUACCCAAAGCCUUCCGCAGGCCUUACAAGAGCAAGCAAUUCCCCACAUCAGCAGCUCGGCAAAUGCCACAGCUCCAACUCUGCCACCUCGGCUCAGGGUAAUAUAGCAACCCUAAAUCGUUUAACUCCUUCUGGAUCUUCAAGGAGGUUCUCCAGUGACGUGGCCCAUUUUGAGGUUCCUUUCAAGCUUUGGUGGCUGCUGCUUGGGUGACCCUCGCUGUCGUUUAUCUC